UGGAAGUCUUUGGGUCGGAUUAUUGGGUUUUCAAACACACCAACCUACAUCAUAUAUAAAUGUUCUAAAAACCUAAAUCUCUCAUUCUUCUCCUUCACGCCGCUUUGUGGAUGCUCAUACGUGGAUGCUCAUACACUCUUUAUAAUCCAGCAAUCUCUGCAGUUAAUCGAUUCAAUCCCUUGGCGUUUUAAAUCACAUUGGAGAGACGUCUAAAAUUACAUUGGGAUUUCGCUCUUUAACAUAGAGAAUCAAUAGUUCAAUGUUGACGAUAACAUGGUUAACCGAUUUGUUUAGGUGAAGUUAGAACAAGUUAUGCAAGUAUUAAAAAUUUCAAAGAGGAGUCUAGCAAGCAGUGCAUAUUAGACAAUUUUGAUUUCUAUGAAGAUCGUCAACGAAGAAUUCUAUAAAAGAAAGAAAAUAUAGCGGUUUCAGAAACAGAUGUGGGAAGGAAAACUAAAAGAGGAGAUUAUAGUGGAUAUUGUACCACCAAAAUCAUCUAAAACAGAGGUCCGAAGGUAGUACAAAAGAUGGCGAAACAUGCUGCUUAAUUAUUGGCAAUGGUAUGCAUGCUGAUGGGGUGUUGUUGAGCAGGCUUUGUAUAGGGAACGAGGCGUUGCGUAUUGUUAAUGAAGAGGGUGUUAGAGCCUUUUGGAAAGGGAAUAUGGUUACUAUUGCUCAUCGUCUUUCUUAUGCUGCUAUUAACUUCUACGCGUAUCAAAUAACUUUUAAUCAUCUAUCUUCAAUGCUUUCUUUGUCUACUCCACCUUCGCAGAUUGCUAAAAUUGCCGCUGAUUUUAUUUUCGAUUUGAUUAGUUCAUAGGGUGGAAUUCUUUGUUUGAUUGGUAACGUUGUGGGUAACGAGUAUAAAUCUCUAUAUAACUUAAGGUUAUGGUCCCUUUCUUGUUUUUUGUAUAGUUAAACUUGGUUGGUAUCAUCUAUGAGUAAGUUUGCAAAUGAGGUUAGUUGUGUAUCAUAUCUCCAAAACCAUCCAGUUCUUUAUUUUUUUGGUUUUAGAAAAACUUUAUGUAUUUGCUUUGAAAUAGGAAGUUCCGGAAGUUAGUGACGAAAAUUGGUUAUGUGACUACUGGUUUACAAAAAGAUGAGGACGUUGUUGUGUUAGGAAAAUCAAGCCAACAUUGAACAAGUCAUCAUCUUACAUCUCGACAGAUAUCCAAUGGAAAUACACCAUUUUCCAAGUUUCCCUUAUAUAUAUGCACAGCUGCACACACACUUAAUGUCAAAAUUACCCAUUGUUAGUAUGUAAAUAAGGAUAAAUUAACGGUCUUCGUAAGCUGUUGAAACUGUCAAAGCAAGGCAAGUCAGCCAGUUUGAGAUUUAUACCGAUCGGAUAAGGAUUAGUUUUGAUGAUUUGUAACUUUAUUUGGGUUUGAUGAUUUUUUUAGGGUUCAUGGUUAUUUUGAUGAGUCGAAACAAGUAAAGAACUAAUGUUUAUUUCAUUACGAACCUUUUCUUUAUUCAAUCUAAUUGUUGAACGUUCGUAUUAUGUUCUCUCGAAUUUGAUGGAUUUUCUAAUGUGCUUUUAUAAAUAUUUUAUCUAACCAAAUUCUAAAGUUUUGGAAUGUGAUAGUGGAUUAUGGGAUGAAACAACUAGCAAUGCAAAUGGUCAGUUUCAUAAUAAAUUCUUUCAUGAUCAGUUUAACAAAGUGAUUCACCUCAAAUUUAUCAUUGUAUACAUUAGAUCUGAAAUUCGUGUUUAUAUUAAUCGUGUUCCUAUGUGUUUGCUUCUCUUUUUGGGGGAGAAAAUCAAAUGGGUAUAUCAAAAUUAGGGUUCUUUGGUUCUUUGAAAUCAUUAUGUUUGAAGGUUUUAGGUGUAUUUGUAGAAUUUGAGGUUUCUUGAAUUAUGUUUUCAAACUAUAGUAAAGCUAAUUUUUGGUGUUUGGAUAUGCAUUUUGAAAGGAUUUUGUAAUGCUUUUAUAAUCACUGUUUUGAUAUUGGUUAACCUUUUUUCUAUUUGCAGAUUUUAUAUUGGGAGAGAGAGAGAGAAAAGUAGAUGUCGUGACAAGGGUUGAGACGGGGGAGAAUCGCCGGUUUUCCGGCGACUACAACAACAUCCUCCUCCCUUGAUCUCAACAACAAAGAGACUAAAGCUAGUAAGUUUCGGAGGCGAAGAUUAAGCAGGACGUUAACACGAUCGACUUAGGUAUUCAGAUGAUCACUGAUCAGGUCUCUACCAGUGGUGACGUGGAGGUUGAACUCAGGAAGAUGUAAAAGAGAAUUCGGGCAGAUCUGGUUACGAAAACAGACGGAUUUAUGAAUGAGACGCCGGCUGCUGUAUGAGACGGAUUUAGGGGGACACACCGACGUUAGGUAGGGAAGGAUGCGUAAACACACAGUGGCAUCUGACGGCUUUCUUCGUUGGAUUUCGAAUAUGGUUUCGGUUUCACCUUCAAACUAAGGUUUUCUUUUCUUCAUUGAUUUUAGUUUAUUCACAUUUAAUCUAAAUCGGAGUUGCUUACACUUCAGUCAAUCAGCUGUGGCCCUACCAUGUCGAUUACGUCAAGAUAGUUAUUCAUCACUAACAAGUGGUGAAAUUCUAUUAAGAAGAACCGCAUCCCCGACAUCAAUCCGACCAUUGAACACAUUAAUGUAUUUCUAAGAUCUCAUAAAUAGUUUAUUGUAACAAAUGCAUUCCGACAGGAUAAAUAUGGAGGAAAAAGUGCAAUGCCAACAUGAAUGGGUUAAGUUGUAUUCUGUUAUGCCCCAAGUAAAGGUAGAACGGGCCAUGCGGCUCUUUAGGUAAAGCCACAUGCAAGGGCGGACCCACCUUGUACGGGUCGAGUUCAUGGGAACCGAUUGAUUAUACAAAAAAUAAGUAGAGGCGAUGAUCAAUUCAUCGAGUGACUUCACUUUGUUUUGUCUCUGAAUUUUACUUGAUCUAUAUUAUCUCAUAUUUACAUUUGCUGUUAUAGUUUGAGUGUGAAUGUUGUGUGUAGAGAUUCUAAGUGAUAUUACAGAAUUAAACUCUCU
rnacentral:lncRNA from 1 species